UGUUUCCCUGAGGAAGAAAAUCCACCGGGUAUUUAGGCAGCAUGAUCCCAUGGCCUUGGGGUCCAGACUAAAUAAAAAGAAAGGAGGAUUGAAUGGAGCACCAGCAUUUAUCUCUCUCUGACACAUCAUGGCCAGUUGCUCCAUGUUCCUGCCGCCAUGUCUGGACAUCAUGACAGGCCUUGGCCUUCUUAACCGUCAGCCAAAAGAAGUCUUCUUCUCCCUAAGCUGCAUUUGUUUCAGUCACAAGAAAAGGAAGGAGCACAGCUGCCUAGCACACAGAUACUGCUGGGGAGCCAGAGCCUCUGCUGAUUUGGAUCAAAGGCUGACAUAACAUAUUGAGGGCAAAAGGCAGGAAGCUGGUCACCACCACUUGGCCCAAGACUCUGGUAUGGUUCUGGCUCCAGUGCCACCAAGGCAAGAUGCUGGAGAUCUUCGUCAUCUGCCCUCCAGAUGGAAUUCAUUUCUGCAGUUCCCUCUAGAUCCUCCAGGUGGAGACAUACUGGGAGCAGUGUCAGAAGCAAGUGGAAGUGAGAAGGUGCUGGAGUGGGGCUGGGAGAGCCAAACCAAAUGCUCCGCACGGGAGACACGGGCCUUUCACCGUCCGGUAUCCAUUAAUCCUUGGAACCGGAGCCUCCCUGGCACACGGGCAAGACAGGAUUGAUUUUUAUGCUUAAAAAUUGGCUUAGAGCUGGUGAGAUGCCUCAGUGAGUCAAGGUGGGCACAAGUACUUGCUAUCAAGACUUUGAUGUCUGGGACCAAACGGUGUAAAGGUGGGAUUGUCCUAAAUGUCCUCAGGACCUCUGUGCUGUGGGGUAUUGGUGCACGCGCGCACACACGUACUCUCUCUGUCUCAACAAAUAAGUUUAUUAGUAAAAUAAGUUUUAAAAUGUUGGGCCUAGAAUUUUGAAUUUUCUCAUCUAAUUAUUUUCCACAGUUUUAAAAACUGAGAAACAUUAUUUUUAAUUGAUCAAAAUGAGAAAAUGACUGUUAUUAUAGUCACACAUAAGGGACAAAUUUAUGAGUUUUAUAGUGAGGUUUUCAUACCUGUAUGGGAUGUAUUUUCGUGUUCAGCCCUCGAUUACCUACUGCUGUAACUGUCUCCUGCAGAAGAGGACCAUCCAUCCUGCUGGAAAGCUCUUUAAGCAGGAAGGUAAACACCUCAAAAUAGCUUCGGGAAGUCCUUGGAACUGACCAGACCCACCAGGCUUCUCCCUCCCUGAACACGCUGUAAUUGCGGAGAGUCUCUCUCUGACAAACCACACUGCAGGGAAGACUCUGGGACGAGCCUGGGAGAAGCAGAAACCUGCUGAGCUGCCUAGGAGAGGCCUGGAGCAACUGAGGCACUUGAAUGGACACACUCUCGCCAGCCUGGUGAGCUUCUGCAGGCUGGGCAGGGAGCUCCAGGAUCUCGGCUUUUGUCAGCUGUCACCCAUGCUGGGGUGGACUUUGGUGAUGCCGCUGUCUCUGAGUCAUUUCUGCUUCUGUAAGCACCAGCAGUUUCUUCCACUGCCGUAGAUUCCUCUAAAACAUGGGGCUAAGAAGGCUGUAUCCCAAGAGUCUUGAAGAUCGACUGAACCAAGUUCUGAGAGGACUUGUGGACCGGCACAUAACAGGCGCUCUACAAGUAUGUGGGUGAGGGACGGACUGACAGAGGGGUUCAAGACCUGUUUGACUUGGCAGAGGAUUAGGUCCAUGUGGGGGCAUUUCCUCCAUCAGGGCCUCCCUCUGCCCACGGGCAGCUUUUCCAUGGUGUUUUAUUGCAAGUUCUUUUCCCUCACUUUGUUUAUCUGACUCACAGGAAAUAUUCCUAGAAAAACCUCAAGGAACCAACUUCUUUUGUGCCCCAGGGCAGCAGACAGUUGGAUUUGUUAUCUGCCACAGAACUCCAACCGUUGGGGCCCUGGGAAGGGGCUGGGGUGGCAGUGGGGAUUAAUUCACAUCAUAAAGGCUGCUUCAGUAAAAAGAACUUAUCCUCCGAACCAUGGGUAAGGUAGAGUCAGAAGAUAAGGGAAUUCUUUCCACCCCCACAUCACACAGCCCUCAGUCUGGGCUGAGGCACCUCCUGUCCCCUGUUCCUUCUGCCUUUCCACAGAAUGGUCACACCAGCAGCAGUCAAAACUGCUUUGAAGGCACCAGCCUCUGGGGAAGCCCCGCUUCUGUCCUGGUUGUGGGAAGAGAGCCAUUUGGCAUGCAAAAAAGAAACAGGCCAUCUGGAGAAGCCUGAG